ensembl:lncRNA
GCCUCAUGCUUUCCUUUACCCCAAGUUCACUAGGAUUCACUGGAAGGCAGAAAAGUAAAGUACCAUUCAUACAAAAUUCUAUGUAUUUGUUUUCCACGUGGAGACUACGACCGUCUUUAUCCACGGCGCCUGUGAGCUUUGCGUCCGGCCAGCAGGUGGCAGCGUUGUCUGUGAACUGCUGCCCAGUUCUGAGCACCCCACAGAGAACUUCAGAGAGGGAGAACCUCACCCCUCCAGAAAGAUGACACGGAAUUUUCCAGUUUCAGCCGGGUCAGGGAUCCCCGCCCCGGGCACGCAGUUCGUGGAGCAGGUAUCAGAUGCACCCUGAGGACGGUUCCCUGAUGUCGCUGGCGGGAACCAAAUGUCACUGUCUAAUUUCAGUUUAAGACCAUCAUAUACAAAUUAGAUUGGCAUAUUCAGGGGGUUGGAGAAGGCAAUGGCAACCCACUCCAGUACUCUUGCCUGGAGAAUCNNNNNNNNNNNNNNNNNNNNNNNNNNNNNNNNNNNNNNNUCGCACAGAGUCGGACGCGACUGAAGCGACUUAGCAGCAGCAGCAGCAUUCAGGGGGUUGGGGAGAACAACUUGGGAAAAUGUUUACCUUCAUACAUGGAAAUAUCCAUUUUAACAGGAGGAGCAAAGGUGCUGGCUUUUUUCAACUACAAAACUAGAAAAAAAUAGAAGUAUACUGUUUGUGAUGAAAAAUUCUAGAGCUCCUUGGAAAAGAAACAACUGUUUUAAAAUUUGGGGAGUAUAAAUUCUUUUGUUUGUUUGUUUUUUAAUCAAAAUGAGUAUCUUCUAAAGGNNCCCAUGAACGUGAGAACGAUUAAAAGCCCUGAUAAAGCAGCGAGGGUCUUGCAUUCCUAGACUCCUCCUGGGGAAAACAGGCAUUAGGAAAAGGCAGCAGAAAGUAAGACAAGGAGAAAAAACUUCUGAGCCAUAAAAUGCCACAUGAGGGACACGCUGGGGGCUUCUGCCAUCUUGGUCUUGAUCAUCUGGCCGCAGCAAUGGAAGCAAGGCUCCAAAGGGCAGCUGGCACAGACGUGGGAUAAAAGCGUGGAAGCCGGGAGGUGGCCGUGCCUCUUCAGGCCAGCCCAACGAGGCUCGGCCCCCAGCCUGGUGAUACCAAGGUGGUUUUUGGUUAGGAAAUGGGAGAAGAGAAAGGAGAAGCUUCUGGAACUCAGGGCCCAGGCCUGCAGCUGAUCACCACUCCUGCCAGUGAGGAGGCUGAACGAAAGCAGAAACCCUCUGGGCAGCUCCGUGGACUCUCAGGCCAAAAUACAUCACUGUCAGCGACCCGCAGAACACAUAGAUCCAGGGAAAGAACCCAGAUAAAGAAAAGAGGACACAGAUCACUCAGGUUAAGCAGAGGGGACCAGGUGAGGUAAGGGCAGAGCCAGCCUGGUCCCCAAGAGGGGCUGGGGGGUGCUCAUCUCCCCAGAAGGGGCUGGGAGCUCGGGUUUUCAAGAAGAGAGGCCUUCUUCUCUGGUUGUGUCAAAUCAGACACCAGACAAAAAUUCCAGCUACAGUUCCCAGGCUGGGAGUAAAGUGAUAUGUUCCCCUGUGAGGUGGUGGGUCUCCUUAUAAGGUGGGGGGGUCCUCCCUGUGAGGUGUCGGGAUCCCUGAGAGGUGUUGGGUCCCCCUGUGAGGUGAGGGGUCCCCCUGAGAGG